UACGUAGGGUGCAGGCGUUAAUCGGAAUUACUGGGCGUAAAGCGUGCGCAGGCGGUCUUUUAAGUCAGAUGUGAAAUCCCCGGGCUCAACCUGGGAACUGCGUUUGAAACUGGGAGGCUAGAGUGCGGCAGAGGGGGGUGGAAUUCCACGUGUAGCAGUGAAAUGCGUAGAUAUGUGGAGGAACACCGAUGGCGAAGGCAGCCCCCUGGGCCAGCACUGACGCUCAUGCACGAAAGCGUGGGGAGCAAACAGG
rnacentral:rRNA from 1 species